GACGAACGCUGGCGGCGUGCCUAAUACAUGCAAGUAGAACGCACAGUUUAUACCGUAGCUUGCUACACCAUAGACUGUGAGUUGCGAACGGGUGAGUAACGCGUAGGUAACCUGCCUGGUAGCGGGGGAUAACUAUUGGAAACGAUAGCUAAUACCGCAUAAUAUUAAUUAUUGCAUGAUAAUUGAUGAAAGAUGCAACUGCAUCACUACCAGAUGGACCUGCGUUGUAUUAGCUAGUAGGUGAGGUAACGGCUCACCUAGGCGACGAUACAUAGCCGACCUGAGAGGGUGAUCGGCCACACUGGGACUGAGACACGGCCCAGACUCCUACGGGAGGCAGCAGUAGGGAAUCUUCGGCAAUGGACGAAAGUCUGACCGAGCAACGCCGCGUGAGUGAAGAAGGUUUUCGGAUCGUAAAGCUCUGUUGUAAGAGAAGAACGGGUGUGAGAGUGGAAAGUUCACACUGUGACGGUAUCUUACCAGAAAGGGACGGCUAACUACGUG
rnacentral:rRNA from 1 species